rnacentral:rRNA from 1 species
UCCUCCUUUCUGAAGAACUGUAAUGCCAUUAAUUUGGUGUUGCAGGGAAACAGGACUGUUACUUUGAAAAAAUUAGAGUGUUUAAAGCAGGCUAACGCUUGAAUACAUUAGCAUGGAAUAAUGAAAUAGGACGUUCGAUCCUAUUUUGUUGGUUUCUAGGAUUGACGUAAUGAUUAAUAGGGAUAGUUGGGGGCAUUAGUAUUCAAUUGUCAGAGGUGAAAUUCUUGGAUUUAUUGAAGACUAACUACUGCGAAAGCAUUUGCCAAGGAUGUUUUCAUUAAUCAAGAACGAAAGUUAGGGGAUCGAAGACGAUCAGAUACCGUCGUAGUCUUAACCAUAAACUAUGCCGACUAGGGAUCGGAUGAUGUUAAUUUUUUAAUGACUCAUUCGGCGCCUUACG